CUCUCUCCACCACCCUCGACUUAUCCUCUUCUCUGCCUUUUCACUCAAAAAACAUUUCCCAUUGCCGCCGCCACCACCACCGCCGUCUGAAAUGGCAUACCUACUCCAAAUCAAUACCCCAGGAGGAUUACUCGAUCUCAACGUACGCCUAUCUAAUCACAAAAACCAUCUGCCAGAGAAAUAUGCUUGGAAAUCAAUGAUAGCCAAAAUGAAAAUUGUUCAGUAAAUGGAGAUGAUAUUGAAGAAGAUCUGAGAAGACAAGCUCAGAUCGUUUGAAUGGACAUAGAAGUGCAGUCGAGUUGAACUGGAAUCUGUGUUUACGAAGAAGAUCGUGUGAGAUGUGAAGCUGAAUGUGAUGUAUGGAGAUGAAUUUUAAAAUUAUCAAAUUUGAUUGGUAGUGUGAAGAUUCUCCACUUAAAAGACUAGUGAUUUUUGGUUUGUCAGUAUUGUUGUUAAAAGAGUUACUUGUAAGAAAAAUGUUUCCAGCCGGUGGAUGAUUUCUAAAAUUGAGAAGCCCCAUUUUCUUAUCCUCGGAGGAGCUCAUGUGUAUCAACUGGUUAUCAAGUUUAGAGAUCAUAUGGCAGCAGGAAACAUUUCAUUUGAAGCACAUGGGAGUGUUGGGAAGGGAGUAAGGAAAUAGGUGAAGACACUUAUGUUCUUUCAAGAGUGCCCCAAGUCAUUGGGUUGUACUGUUCCAUAACAUUGUCGCUUGGUUUCGAUAUGCGUUGAUUGACGUUCACUCAGUAGACCUUCCACCCUCAAAACUUGAUUUCAGCUACGUAAAUCCAGAAUGGGUAAAGAAAGAGGUCAAUCUGGUUCAGUGACUACAAACCGAGAUAGCGACGAAUAUACUUGAAAUUAAUCGAUUGAGAGUGCAGUUGCUCUUCCAUUCGUAUGUGUGGGACCAACGACUGAUUCCUGCAGCAAAAUUAUACAACAACAGACACCAGGAAGGGCUCAACAGCUCUAUACAAGAAUAUAUGGAGGAGUCUAUAAGUACUGCAGAUAAGCUUGUAUCAACAAACUCAACUUCCAGGCAAGGUGGUAAAGAUUCUCCCAGUUUUGACUCCGUACUUACAGAUCAAGAUGUGAUAAAAAAUUGCAAGCUGGAAGGAAGUGGUGAGCAGGUGGAUUCAUUCCAAAUCAUAACACCCCAGAGCCACAUCUUUUAUCUAGCUUAAGUUUAAAUGCCCAGGCCGAUCCUUUGGAACCUGGAAUACAUGUGCGGAGGGCAAAUUGAGAAAGUCAGUUCCCGAUUGUACUGAACCUUGAUGCAGCAUGGAAUGUUGAAAACAUGCCAGGGAGUACGAUAUUGGAAAUUAAGGGUGAAGUGGCAGCAGAUUCAAUCAGUGCAAGAAGCCCAACUUGGCUGGCAAAAUUUUUGGGUGUCUAUCAGUUUUCUGGGUUCAGGAGGAACCUCAUUUAUCUUCAACGCUGCUGUCUUCAACCUCUUGGCAAACUCAGAACAUUGCAUUGCAGCUUUAUGAUCCAUCUGUACGAAUCCGUCAGUGCGGUCCCUGCCUAGAAUGUGGUUAAGCAAGAAAUGAAGCUGAUCUGGGUCGAUAAUCGACAUGUUCUCCCUGGGCCUGGUGAUUUUGCAAGUCCCAUUUACCUUGACACUGUUGGCGAGAUAGUCAGCUGCGAAGUUGGCUUCCCUUGGCAGAGGUGUGAAGCUGAUGUGAUGAUCCCAGUUCCGUCUCCCAUUUGAGCUUACGAUCUGCGCGUCAAUAGAUUUCAUAAUGCUUUGGUAUAGGACCAGAUAUUUCUUCUCAUACAAGUUCAACUGUAAUAGGGGAUCCAUGUCAUGUAUGUGAGGUCGUAGUCUAUCAUCAUCCAAUAUUUUUAUCACGAACCUAUUAUGAAUAUUAUCGGUUGAAAUUUCAAGUGGUAGCCAAUCUGUCCCCA